UCCUGACGGUCGCAGAGAUGUGACCCUCUCUUCGGAGCCUGGAGCACAGGUGCUGCAUGGCUGUCGUCAGCUCGUGUCGUGAGAUGUUGGGUUAAGUCCCGCAACGAGCGCAACCCCCGUCCUUAGUUGCUACCAUUUAGUUGAGCACUCUAAGGAGACUGCCGGUGAUAAGCCGCGAGGAAGGUGGGGAUGACGUCAAGUCCUCAUGGCCCUUACGGGCUGGGCUACACACGUGCUACAAUGGCGGUGACAAUGGGAUGCUAAGGGGCGACCCUUCGCAAAUCUCAAAAAGCCGUCUCAGUUCGGAUUGGGCUCUGCAACUCGAGCCCAUGAAGUUGGAAUCGCUAGUAAUCGUGGAUCAGCACGCCACGGUGAAUACGUUCCCGGGUCUGACCAACACCGG
rnacentral:rRNA from 1 species